CUCCAUGUUGUUGCUCGUUGGGACACCAGCUUACAGCAGAAUUUUACGUCUUCUUCAGAGAGUGUUACGAGUGGCAGAUUGAAGGAUUUGUUGAGAAGUACAAGAGAAUGAAAGAUGGGGCAGCUCUUUUGAAAGGCAGUUUACAUAAGAAAGUGAUGACCUUUGAAAGGUGGUGGUGUGUUUUGACAGAUGAACUUGAUCUCUGCAUUCAGGGAUCUGUGGAGAACAAGUCCUUUGAAGCCGAAAACUCACCUUAGAACAUGUGGGCCGCCCGCUGUGGCCGUGCGGUUCUAGGCGCUUCAGUACGGAACCACGCAGCUGCUAUGGUCGCAGGUUCGAAUCCUGCCUCAGGCAUGGAUGUGUGUGAUGUCCUUAGGUUAGUUAGGUUUAAGUAGUUCUAAGUAUAGGGGUCUGAUGACCUCAGAUGUCAAGUCCCAUAAUGCUUAGAGCCAUUUGAACCAUUUCUGAACAUGCAGUUAGCUGUUCAUUGUGAAGUAAAUUUGCAGAUUUGUUCCACAAAAUUGAACCAUUUAGUUACGUAAAAGGCUUCAGUAAGGUCACAAAAUAUACCAGCAGGAUUAUUUUGGUUGUUUUUAGUUCUGCUAGGUUUUCAUUCAUAAGGGUAUAUGGUGGCUGCUACAUGUGAAACUCAAAAGUAUUUAGCAAAUUUUGUUUGAGUUGAGGACUGAUUAUGGAUGAGGCUCAAGGUUAAUUGUAUCAACCUUUCACAAGAUUUUACUAAUCUGCUAGAAACACUGUCAUAGAAAAAUAUUGCUGCUUUUAGCAACUUGAUGGUAUUUUUAAUUCCCUUUGGUCUUGCAUAUUUGAUAUUAACGACGUUUGAUGAUGUAAAAAGUAUUGAAUUAUCAAUUUCAUGGCUGAAAUGCCACAAUUAUUAAAAUAUUUCUGGCUAUUAUUCUGUUGUUUUUUCUGAUUUCUUUGAUCACUUGUGGCAUAUAAGUUCUUGUAUUCCAUUUGGAACUAAUUAAAGAAUGGAAACUCCAGGUAGGAAUAUCAACAAUUUAGGAAAAGAUAGAUUGCUACUCACUGUAAAGGAGACACGUUAAGUUGCAGACAGGCAUAAUUAAUAUGCAAGUUAAUGUGUCUUCUUUAUGGUAAGUAGCAAUUUGUUUUUUUCUGCAGUGGUGAUAUUCAGCAUUAAUUGUUUGUAGAAUGCAAAGGUUACAAUAUUUACACUGUAACCAAAGGAGUAGGCAACCGUUUUCUUGAAACUGAAAGUGCUUUGCAAACAAACCACUUCUAUUACUUUUGGUUCUUCUUGGAACACUCAAACAGCUUAUUGUUAUUCAGUUUUCAACUCUUGUACCAAAGUCAUAAUAAA